rnacentral:lncRNA from 1 species
GAAUGUUAGCUCAGGGUCAAUCUUCUUCACACACACGCAUACAAAUUAUUUAUAUUCUUUAACCUUUUUUUUUUUUUAAGAUUUCAUUUUUUUCCUUUUUCUCCCCAAAACCCCCCCGGUACAUAGUUGAAUAUUCUUCGUUGUGGGUCCUUCUAGUUGUGGCAUGUGGGAUGCUGCCUCAGUGUGGUUUGAUGAGCAGUGCCAUGUCCGCGCCCAGGAUUCGAACCAACGAAACACUGGGCCACCUGCAGUGGAGCACGCGAACUUAACCACUCGGCCACAGGGCCAGCCCCAAUAUUCUUUAAAAUUCAAAGUACAAUAUACAUGUAGAAAAGUGCAGAAACCACAAAUGUACGGCUGAAUGAACUAUCAUGAAAUGAAGAUAUCCAGGUAAAGAAAUAGAACAUAACCAGUGCCCAACAGCCCCUCAUGUAUCCACACCAAAUUACUAACCUCACCUUCCCAAAUGUAAGUACUACCUUGACUUCUAAAACCAUUGAUUAAUUCUGCUUGUUUUUGAAUUUAUAAAAAUGCAGCCACAUGAUAUAUAUUCUUUUGUGUCUAGCUUAUUUCAGUCAAUGUUAUUAUGAUAGCUUGUUCAUUUUCCGGGCUGUAUAGUAUUCCAUUUUAUGAAUCUACCAAAGUUUAUUUAUUUCUUCCACUGUUGCUAGGUAUGUGGGUUACUUCCACUUUUUUUUGGCUAUUAUGGGUGAUGCAUUUGUGUGGGGGUCUUAAUGAGGACAGAAACACAUUAGGAAAGUCAAAAAAGGCCUCCAAUCUAAGUGUGGUGGGAUCACUCUAAACUAAUGGCAAAAUCCAGGAAUUGACAGGGCCCGAGGUUGGCAUCCUUGUGUGUUAAAUUAAGGAAAGAUUGUUUUUCAAUGUAACCCAAGAUAGGAAGGAAUUCAAUGUUUUCAAUUACCCUGCAGGAAAGGGUGAGACCGUGAUACGUCUGACUAUUGCAUGGCGGUCAACCUAAGAUUUGGAGUGAGGGCCACGCUUGAAGAGCUGAUUUCACACGAAAUGAAAUACCUGUUCUUUGUACUGAGUAGGUGCUGUGACCCAUUCUUUGCACUUUGUUUGUGCUGUGACUGUGUAAGGAAAUUGCCACCACUAAACCACAUGUGCUUAUUCCAUGGAAGCUACAAGAUGAAAUGGAAUUCCAUGGAAGCUACAAGCUGCAACACGUCCUUGGUCCUCUUUGCUUCCAGAAGCCACCUGUGAAAACUGACCUCAUUGUACUUCACCCACACCUCACGGCUCAUGAAAGCAUUAAACAUGGAAACAAUGCCAGCGGGACAGGACAGCUACCAUGGGACUCUUGUUUCCCAUGAGAAAGGGAGAAAUGACUAGGAGACAAAACCAAAGUCUGCUACAAAAGGGAAGUUAAAGGGAUCUCUGGGUAUGACAAUAACUCAUUGAUGGCAAGAAUGUUAUUUGCCUUUUAUAGCAAUUCCACAACAGUUGGCUUGCAGAAGAGUAAUGAUAUUAAAAUUCUCAAGGUACUAAAAGAAAACCCUAUUCUUCAUGCUGGAAUGUUAUCAGCACUGCCUCAGUGCCUUACUGGAAUUUCUAUUAUCUGAUAAAUGGUAGUGGUAAAAGAAUUUUAGGUGGUAAUCAAGAAAUAUAGGUCUUCUCCAAAGGCUGUGGUCUUGGGGAAGUCUUCGUUUUUGGGGCCUCAUUUUUCCCAUCUGUAUAAUUAAGGGCUUGGAAUAGAUGUUUUCUCACAUCUCCUCCAAUUCUGCAUUCAGUGAGACUACAGGGAAAGCAGGGUGAAGUAGUAAAUAGAUGGGAGAUUGGAUUCAGCAGAGCUCGAGAUGAGUUUUGGCUUCAUCACUUAAUAGCUGUUUGACUUUGAGAAAAAUUCUUAACCUUUCUGACCUCAGUUUCCUCAUCUUUAAAACAAAAACAUAAAAAUAAUACAAGACAAUUAUAUUGGUUAAAGUCAAAUGAAACAACAGAUGUGAAAAACUUCGCAAACUCUAAACCUCAGCAUAAAGGUGAGUUUUAUUACUAUAAUUAUGAUGAUGAGUAAAAAUGAACAGUACCAACCAACACUUACUUACUAUUAUUAUUGUUAUUAUUUUUUCUGGGAAAGAUUUGCUCUGAGCUAACAUCCAUUACCAAUCUUCCUCUUUUUUUUUUUUCUCUCCAAACUCCCAUUACAUAGUUGUACAUUCUAGUCAUAAGUCCUUCUGGUUCUUCUGUGAGAGCUGCCGCCACAGCAUGGCUACUGACAGAUGGGUG